UACGUAGGGGCCGAGCGUUGUCCGGAGUUAUUGGGCGUAAAGCGCGCGCAGGCGGCCUCGCGCGCCCGACGUGAAAGCCCCCGGCUUAACCGGGGAGGGUCGUUUGGGGACGGCGGGGCUUGAGGGCGGGAGAGGUCGGUGGAAUUCCCGGUGUAGUGGUGAAAUGCGUAGAGAUCGGGAGGAACACCUGUGGCGAAGGCGGCCGACUGGGCCGACCCUGACGCUGAGGCGCGAAGGCGUGGGGAGCGAACGGG
rnacentral:rRNA from 1 species